rnacentral:rRNA from 1 species
AUUGAACGCUGGCGGCAGGCCUAACACAUGCAAGUCGAACGAGUGGCGGACGGGUGAGUAAUGUCUGGGAAACUGCCUGAUGGAGGGGGAUAACUACUGGAAACGGUAGCUAAUACCGCAUACCAUCGGAUGUGCCCAGAUGGGAUUAGCGAGUAGGUGGGGUAAAGGCUCACCAGGGCGACGAUCCCUAGCUGGUCUGAGAGGAUGACCGGCAAAACUGCAACUUAGACACUGGCCAGCCUCCUACGGGAGGCAGCAGUGGGGAAUAGUGCACUAUGGGCGCAAGCCUGAUGCAGCGAUGCCGCGUGGAUGAAGAAGGCCUUCGGGUUGUAAAGUACUAUCCGCGGGGAGGCGUUACCCGCAGAAGAAGCACCGGCUAACUCCGUGCCAGCAGCCGCGGUAAUUC